rnacentral:rRNA from 1 species
GUGGGGAAUUUUGGACAAUGGGCGAAAGCCUGAUCCAGCAAAGCCGCGUGUGUGAAGAAGGCCUUCGGGUUGUAAAGCACUUUUGGCAGGGAAGAAACAGUGCGUGCUAAUACCAUGCGCGAAUGACGGUACCUGCAGAAUAAGCACCGGCUAACUACGUGCCAGCAGCCGCGGUAAUACGUAGGGUGCAAGCGUUAAUCGGAAUUACUGGGCGUAAAGCGUGCGCAGGCGGCUUUGUAAGACGGAUGUGAAAGCCCCGGGCUCAACCUGGGAAGUGCAUUCGUGACUGCAAGGCUAGAGUGUGUCAGAGGGAGGUGGAAUUCCGCGUGUAGCAGUGAAAUGCGUAGAGAUGCGGAGGAACACCGAUGGCGAAGGCAGCCUCCUGGGCCUGCACUGACGCUCAUGCACGAAAGCGUGGGGAGCAAACAGGAUUAGAUACCCCAGUAGUCC